UACGUAGGGUGCAAGCGUUGUCCGGAAUUAUUGGGCGUAAAGAGCUUGUAGGCGGGUUGUCGCGUCUGCUGUGAAAUUUCGGGGCUCAACCCCGAACUUGCAGUGGGUACGGGCAGACUAGAGUGUGGUAGGGGAGACUGGAAUUCCUGGUGUAGCGGUGAAAUGCGCAGAUAUCAGGAGGAACACCGAUGGCGAAGGCAGGUCUCUGGGCCAUAACUGACGCUGAGAAGCGAAAGCAUGGGGAGCGAACAGG
rnacentral:rRNA from 1 species